rnacentral:misc_RNA from 1 species
GAAAUGCGAUAAGUAGAGUGAAUUGAAGAAUUCAGUGAAUCAUCGAAUCUUUGAACGCACAUUGCGCCCCUUGGUAUUCCAUGGGGCAUGCCUGUUCGAGCGUCAUUUGUACCCUCAAGCUCUGCUUGGUGUUGGGUGUUUGUCCCGUCUCCGCGCGUGGACUCGCCCCAAAGUGAUUGGCAGCCGGCGUACUGGUCCCGGAGCGCAGCACAUGUCGCGCAAACGAGUGCCUUGGUACGGCGGCGUCCAUAAGCCCCUCUCUCACGCUCUUGACCUCGGAUCAGGUAGUGUUACCCGCUGAACUUAAGC